rnacentral:lncRNA from 1 species
AUGCUAGAUCUAUUUUAUUUUGUUAAGGAGAAAGGGAUGCCUUGAUUGUCGUAUUGAUUUUCUUCUUCUUUUUGUUCCAAAAGAUUGAAACUGAAGAGCUGGAAGGAGGACAUUACAACAUCUCUUAUAUUUGCAAGAUGAAGCAGAAAGUCCCAUGCAGGAUGAUGCCUCUCUACAGUGGAUGAUGAAGGCAUUCUGGUUUGCAAACUCAGGAGAGGAACAAAGAACAGAUGUUGACGGGAUCAUAUCUAGAGAUGCGGGCCUACUACACUUCAUACGAGCAAGUGUGCUAUUAUACAUGAAGACUUGGGUUAUAUUUUUUUCUGAAAACUAGGCUACAACUUUAGUGAUGGAUGCAGAAGAUAUCUACACGAGACUACGUCUUAAAGAUGCCACCCUCAUAUAAUGAAAAAGGACAAUAGAGAUGGGUUUAAACUGGAAUAUUUACAUGAUAUUUAUUUGUUAUUUGU